rnacentral:rRNA from 1 species
GCAUAUCAAUAAGCGGAGGAAAAGAAACCAACAGGGAUUGCCCUAGUAACGGCGAGUGAAGCGGCAUCAGCUCAAAUUUGAAAUCUGGCUCUUUCAGGGUCCGAGUUGUAAUUUGCAGAGGGCGCUUUGGUGUUGGCAGCGGUCCAAGUUCCUUGGAACAGGACGUCACAGAGGGUGAGAAUCCCGUACGUGGUCGCUGGCCUUCGCCGUGUAAAGCCCCUUCGACGAGUCGAGUUGUUUGGGAAUGCAGCUCUAAAUGGGAGGUAAAUUUCUUCUAAAGCUAAAUACUGGCCAGAGACCGAUAGCGCACAAGUAGAGUGAUCGAAAGAUGAAAAGCACUUUGGAAAGAGAGUCAAAUAGCACGUGAAAUUGUUGAAAGGGAAGCGCUUGCAGCCAGACUUGCCUGUAGUUGCUCAUCUAGGCUCUUUGCCUAGUGCACUCUUCUGCGGGCAGGCCAGCAUCAGUCUAGGCGGUUGGAUAAAGGCCUCUGUCAUGUACCUCCUCUCGGGGAGGCCUUAUAGGGGAGGCGUAAUGCAACCAGCCUGGACUGAGGUCCGCGCAUCUGCUAGGAUGCUGGCGUAAUGGCUGUAAGCGGCCCGUCUUGAAACACGGACCAAGGAGUCUAACAUCUAUGCGAGUGUUUGGGUGUCAAGCCCGAGCGCGUAAUGAAAGUGAACGGAGGUGGGAUCCCUUUAGGGUGCACCAUCGACCGAUCCUGAUGUCUUCGGAUGGAUUUGAGUAAGAGCAUGGCUGUUGGGACCCGAAAGAUGGUGAACUAUGCUUGAAUAGGGUGAAGCCAGAGGAAACUCUGGUGGAGGCUCGCAGCGGUUCUGACGUGCAAAUCGAUCGUCAAAUUUGGGCAUAGGGGCGAAAGACUAAUCGAACUAUCUAGUAGCUGGUUCCUGCCGA